rnacentral:rRNA from 1 species
UACGUAGGGGUCGAGCGUUAAUCGGAAUUACUGGGCGUAAAGCGUGCGCAGGCGGUUUUGUAAGCCAGAUGUGAAAUCCCCGGGCUCAACCUGGGAAUGGCAUUUGGGACUGCAAGGCUGGAGUACGGCAGAGGAGACUGGAAUUCCUGGUGUAGCAGUGAAAUGCGUAGAUAUCAGGAGGAAUACCGAUGGCGAAGGCAGGUCUCUGGGCUGAUACUGACGCUCAUGCACGAAAGCGUGGGGAGCAAACAGG